rnacentral:rRNA from 1 species
UGGGGAAUCUUGCGCAAUGCACGACAGUGUGACGCGGCAACGCCGCGUGGGGGAAGAAGGCCUUCGGGUUGUAAACCUCUUUCAGGAGGGACGAAGCUUCGGCAGCGAAUAGCUGUCCGGAGUGACGGUACUUCCAUAAGAAGCCCCGGCUAACUACGUGCCAGCAGCCGCGGUAAUACGUAGGGGCAAGCGUUGUCCGGAAUCAUUGGGCGUAAAGAGCGCGUAGGCGGCCAGAUAAGUCCGGUGUGAAAGUCACAGGCUCAACCUGUGAAUGCCGCUGGAAACUGUUUGGCUAGAGUCCGGUAGGGGCGAGUGGAAUUCCUGGUGUAGCGGUGAAAUGCGCAGAUAUCAGGAGGAACACCAAUGGCGAAGGCAGCUCGCUGGAACGGUACUGACGCUGAGGCGCGAAAGCGUGGGGAGCGAACAGGAUUAGAUACCCUGGUAGUCCACGCCGUAAACGAUGGGUACUAGGUGUAGGA